rnacentral:rRNA from 11 species
ACCCGUUCGCCGAAAGACCAAGGGUUCCAGUCCAACGUUAAUCGGGGCUGGGUGAGUCGACCCCUAAGGCGAGGCCGAAAGGCGUAGUCGAUGGGAAACAGGUUAAUAUUCCUGUACUUGGUGUUACUGCGAAGGGGGGACGGAGAAGGCUAUAUCAGCCGGGCGACGGUUGUCCCGGUUUAAGCGUGUAGGCGGAGGGUCCAGGUAAAUCCG